GUGCUCACUUCAGCAGCACAUAUACUAAAAUUGGAAUGAUACAGAGGAGAUUAGCAUGGCCCCUGUGCAAGGAUGACACGUGAAGCGUUCCAUAUUUUU
ensembl:snRNA U6 U6 spliceosomal RNA